rnacentral:rRNA from 1 species
UGCGGAGGGUGCAAACGUUGCUCGGAAUCAUUGGGCGUAAAGCGCACGUAGGCGGACCGCUAAGUCGGAUGUGAAAGCCCUCGGCUUAACCGAGGAAGUGCAUUCGAAACUGACAGUCUUGAGGACUGGAGAGGAGACUGGAAUUUACGGUGUAGCGGUGAAAUGCGUAGAUAUCGUAAGGAAGACCAGUGGCGAAGGCGGGUCUCUGGACAGUUCCUGACGCUGAGGCACGAAGGCCAGGGGAGCAAACGGG